rnacentral:rRNA from 1 species
AUUGAACGCUGGCGGCAGGCCUAACACAUGCAAGUCGAGCGGACGAAGGGAGCUUGCUCCUGGAUUCAGCGGCGGACGGGUGAGUAAUGCCUAGGAAUCUGCCUGGUAGUGGGGGAUAACGUCCAGAAACGGGCGCUAAUACCGCAUACGUCCUGAGGGAGAAAGUGGGGGAUCUUCGGACCUCACGCUAUCAGAUGAGCCUAGGUCGGAUUAGCUAGUUGGUGGGGUAAAGGCCUACCAAGGCGACGAUCCGUAACUGGUCUGAGAGGAUGAUCAGUCACACUGGAACUGAGACACGGUCCAGACUCCUACGGGAGGCAGCAGUGGGGAAUAUUGGACAAUGGGCGAAAGCCUGAUCCAGCCAUGCCGCGUGUGUGAAGAAGGUCUUCGGAUUGUAAAGCACUUUAAGUUGGGAGGAAGGGCAGUAAGUUAAUACCUUGCUGUUUUGACGUUACCAACAGAAUAAGCACCGGCUAACUUCGUG